AUAUUGCACAAUGGGGGAAACCCUGAUGCAGCGACGCCGCUUGAGCGAAGAAGGCCUNNNGGUCGNACAGCUCUGUUUCGAGGNAAGNUAAUGACGGUACCUCGGGAGGAAGCACCGGCUAUCUACGGGCCAGCAGCCGCGUUAAUACGUAGGGGGGAAGCGUUAUCCGGAAUCACUGGGCGUAAAGGGUGCGUAGGCGGCCAAUAAAGUCAGGGGUGAAAGGCUACGGCUCAACCGUAGUAAGCCUUUGAAACUUAUUGGCUUGAGUGCAGGAGAGGAGAGUGGAAUUCCUAGUGUAGCGGUGAAAUGCGUAGAUAUUAGGAGGAACACCAGUGGCGAAGGCGACUCUCUGGACUGUAACUGGCGCUGAGGCACGAAAGCGUGGGGGGCGAAC
rnacentral:rRNA from 1 species